rnacentral:rRNA from 1 species
ACGGGAGGCAGCAGUGGGGAAUAUUGGACAAUGGGGGAAACUCUGAUCCAGCGACGCCGCGUGAGUGAAGAAGUAUUUCGGUAUGUAAAGCUCCAUCAGCAGGGAAGAUAAUGACGGUACCUGACUAAGAAGCCCCGGCUAACUACGUGCCAGCAGCCGCGGUAAUACGUAGGGGGCAAGCGUUAUCCGGAUUUACUGGGUGUAAAGGGAGCGUAGACGGAAGGCCAAGUCUGAUGUGAAAACCCAGGGCUCAACCCUGGGACUGCAUUGGAAACUGGUCAUCUAGAGUGCAGGAGGGGUAAGCGGAAUUCCUAGUGUAGCGGUGAAAUGCGUAGAUAUUAGGAGGAACACCAGUGGCGAAGGCGGCUUACUGGACUGUAACUGACGUUGAGGCUCGAAAGCGUGGGGAGCAAACAGGAUUAGAUACCCUGGUA